GACAGGGGGUGCAAGCGUUGCUCGGAAUCACUGGGCGUAAAGCGCGCGUAGGCGGUCUCGUAAGUCGGGUGUGAAAGCCCUCAGCCUAACUGAGGAACUGCGCCCGAUACUGCGAGGCUAGAGGAUGGGAGGGGAGAGUGGAAUUCCUGGUGGAGCGGUGAAAUGCGUAGAUAUCAGGAGGAACACCAGUGGCGAAGGCGACUCUCUGGUCCAUUCCUGACGCUGAGGUGCGAAAGCGUGGGGAGCAAACAGG
rnacentral:rRNA from 1 species